rnacentral:rRNA from 1 species
GAUGAACGCUGGCGGCGUGCUUAACACAUGCAAGUCGAACGAUGAAGCCCAGCUUGCUGGGUGGAUUAGUGGCGAACGGGUGAGUAACACGUGAGUAACCUGCCCUUGACUCUGGGAUAAGCCUGGGAAACUGGGUCUAAUACUGGAUAUGACUUCUCAUCGCAUGGUGGGGGGUGGAAAGAUUUAUUGGUCUUGGAUGGACUCGCGGCCUAUCAGCUUGUUGGUGAGGUAAUGGCUCACCAAGGCGACGACGGGUAGCCGGCCUGAGGGGGUGACCGGCCACACUGGGACUGAGACACGGCCCAGACUCCUACGGGAGGCAGCAGUGGGGAAUAUUGCACAAUGGGCGCAAGCCUGAUGCAGCGACGCCGCGUGAGGGAUGACGGCCUUCGGGUUGUAAACCUCUUUCAGUAGGGAAGAAGCGAGAGUGACGGUACCUGCAGAAGAAGCGCCGGCUAACUACGUG